rnacentral:rRNA from 1 species
GAUGAACGCUAGCGGCAGGCUUAAUACGUGCAAGUCGAGGGGUAGCAAGAUUGUAGCAAUACAAUUGUUGACGACCGGCAAACGGGUGCGGAACACGUACACAACCUUCCUACAAGUGGGGAAUAGCCCAGAGAAAUUUGGAUUAAUACCCCGUAACAUAGCGAUGUGGCAUCACAUUGCUAUUAUAGCUUCAGCGCUUGUUGAUGGGUGUGCGGCUGAUUAGAUAGUUGGCGGGGUAACGGCCCACCAAGUCUACGAUCAGUAGCUGAUGUGAGAGCAUGAUCAGCCACACGGGCACUGAGAAACGGGCCCGACUCCUACGGGAGGCAGCAGUAAGGAAUAUUGGACAAUGGACGCAAGUCUGAUCCAGCCAUGCCGCGUGAAGGAUUAAGGUCCUCUGGAUUGUAAACUUCUUUUAUAAGGGACGAAAAAAGGUCUUUCUAGAUCGUCUGACGGUACCUUAUGAAUAAGCACCGGCUAACUCCGUGCCAGCCGCCGCCGUAAUAC